rnacentral:lncRNA from 1 species
GGAUAUUUAUGUUUUUUUAAAAAAAAAUCUAUAAAUCAACCAGCUAAGUAUUGAUAAACAUAUAAAGAAUAAUUGGUUGAACUUAAUACAUUCCUCACUGCAUCUGCUCUGUAGACUGUAAUCUAUAGCAUUGCUUGUUCUACUCCCACUAGAAGUUCUUACUUCUUACAAUUACUACCAUCUCAUUGCAACAUAAAAAAGAAAGGAAAGUAGAAUGAAAAUACAUAAUUCAAACCAAGACUAUUCUGUUCAUUUCAUUUGACAUGUCACCAUCAACACUCAACAGAAAACAACUGCAAAUACAUGCUUGCAAUCCCAUCUUCUCCAUCGAUCCAUAAGAACACUACAAACAAAAAAUAUUUUUAUACAAUUAACAUAUACUCAAUUACAAAGACUUAUUAGAAGGUCUGAGUAAACCAUAACCAAAUCAAUGACAUCCAAAAAUCAUAUUAGAAAUUAAUGACAUCCAUACUUUUAAACAAUUAACACAUACUUCAAUGAUCAUAUUAGAAAUCAAUGACAUAUGAGAAAUGUACCCCUUUCAUAAUUCCAUCAGAGUAGAUUACCACUAAAUCACCCUGUACAUUGACAAUGCUCAGAUUGGAAACAGACGGAUGAAGGAUGAUACUUUAACAAUUUGGUGGGGGAAAAUGGAAUUGAAUUUUAUGCAAGUGAAACUUUUGUUGAAGCAGGUAUAAGAUUAAUGAACUUGUCUGAAAUACUUUUUGGCUUAUGCAUUUUAUAUAAAAUGCUAGAGCCUAAAAGAUAUUAAAAUAUCCUAUUAAGUCUUUGUAAUUGUAAGUUUAAUUUGAAUACAGUGUUGAAUACGGGUAGUUGGUAAUAUAUAUCAGUGCACGUUGAGUGAGUUUUAGUAAUUUUCCUUUUACUAGUAAGCAGCAUGAUAUUAUGAUAGAAUGCUAAAUCUGCAUUUUGAGGCUAGCAGUUGUGGCUAGUACUCUUUGGUGGCAAGCCUCUUUUCCAACUUUGGAACAAGAGAGUGCUACUAAAAGAUUUUAGAAAAUAUGAAUGCAAAUUUUGGAGUGAAAAUCAGAGGUGGAGUAUAAAAAAUUAAUGUAAAUGCAUUCAGGAACAACUUUUCUAGACAGAGUCUGAUAUUUUUACAAUAAUAUAUUAUAUAUAGUUAAGCAGGCAGGUCCAUGUUGAAUUUGUUAACCUAUAGUCAAUUUUCUGUGAAUUAGCUUCUGAUGUACUUUAUUGCAAACUCUUUUUGGGUUUGGAUACCCACACUAAUACUAAUUCGGUGCUGGAAAAAGAUAUGCGCUGCAAUCAAAGCCCAAGACAAGAAACAAGUAAGGGCAAAAAGCCAGAUUCGAGAGAGAGACUACCUGUAUUCAACACUACCUCUAUUCAACACUGAGAUAUAUUACAUAUAGAAAGACAAAAUUACCCAAAUUCUAGAGAGAAAUUGGUCUCACAGAAUUAGGAUUUGGAUUCGAAACGAAAAGAAGAAGCUUCACAGUCGGCGUGGUCGAUCGAUAGAACUUCGAAGUGUUUGAUUUGUGAUUUCCCCAGUCAUCGUUGUCACUCCGUUGUCUCUCUGUCUCAGUCUCUCAGACUCUCAGUUUCAGAUCUAGAUCUAAAAAAAGUCCCUUUACUCUUUAGGCCUUUAUUAUGGCUUAGCCAAGCCGCUCCCUUAGAGAGAUUACUGAUUAGAGA